ensembl:snoRNA SNORD14 Small nucleolar RNA SNORD14
UUGUUUCACACUGGCAUUUAUUCUUGCCAUUUGUAGUUUCCACCAGAGAUCACAAAACCAACGAUGGUCCAGACCUCCCUUGGAUGUCUGAGCAA